GCCGAGGUAGCUCAGUUGGUAGAGCGCUGCGUUGAAGGCGCAGGCGUCGGCGGUUCGAGUCCGUCCCUCGGCACCA
rnacentral:tRNA from 1 species